UACAUUCAUAAUUGAAUUUUUGUCUUUCUCUUUUAGAUUAAUCUAAUAGCUCCUCCUCGGUAUGUAAUGACUACAACAACCCUGGAGAGAACAGAAGGCCUUUCUGUCCUCAGUCAAGCUAUGGCUGUUAUCAAAGAGAAGAUUGAGGAAAAGAGGGGUGUGUUCAAUGUUCAAAUGGAGCCCAAAGUGGUCACAGAUACAGAUGAGACUGAACUUGCAAGGCAGAUGGAGAGGCUUGAAAGAGAAAAUGCCGAAGUGGAUGGAGAUGAUGAUGCAGAAGAAAUGGAAGCCAAAGCUGAAGAUUAACUUUGUGGGAAACAGAGUCCAAUUUAAGGAACACAGAGCAGCCCUUCCUGGCUGUAAAUCCUAGACUUGAAAGUUUUCCAGUAUUGAAAACUUCAAAGCUGAAUAUUUUUUAUUUCUAAGUAUUUAAAUGUUCUAACAGAUCAGAACAUGAAAUGCCCUCCUAAAUGUCAGCUGUUGUCACACAGUAGCUCCAACACUUUGAGCAUUUUUAAGGGAGUGGCCUCAUUU
rnacentral:sRNA from 1 species